CGUAGGGUCCGAGCGUUGUCCGGAAUUAUUGGGCGUAAAGGGCUUGUAGGCGGUUCGUCACGUCGGAAGUGAAAACUCAGGGCUUAACCCUGAGCCUGCUUCCGAUACGGGCAAACUAGAGGGAUGCAGGGGAGAACGGAAUUCCUGGUGGAGCGGUGGAAUGCGCAGAUAUCAGGAGGAACACCGGUGGCGAAGGCGGUUCUCUGGGCAUCUCCUGACGCUGAGAAGCGAAAGCGUGGGGAGCAAACAGGCUUAGAUACCCUGGUAGUCCACGCCGUAAACGGUGGGCACUAGGUGUGGGGGACAUUCCACGUUCUCCGUGCCGAAGCUAACGCAUUAAGUGCCCCGCCUGGGGAGUACGGCCGCAAGGCUA
rnacentral:rRNA from 1 species